AGUAGUUUGUUUAGUAUUCACUUCACUAAAAUUUAUCUGUACAAAUUUAUUUCCAACCACUCAAUACUACUUUUUGCGCCCGAAAUGGUCGAGUGCAUUUAAUACCCGACUACUAUUCAACGGUUCUUGGGUUAAAACACAACCAUGGCAAAAAACACAAAUAUUUUAUGUUUUUUUCGACAGAAGAUGUCACAUCUAUCAGUUGUUUGGAGACGCCAAAAUAUCAAGGAAAAGUUAGCCGAAAAUUGAGAAAAACAUUUAUUCUUCGCUUUCAUCACAUCAUUUAAUAACGCUUCAAAUACAUCCAUACAAUGUGUUUCCACUAAACAAACACGGUUUAUCGAAAAACUAGUUGUGCGUCAAACAGCAAGCAGUUCAGACCUCGUAAUAAUUGUUAAAUUAUUGAGAGGCAAAUAAAAGUGGACAUUCAUAGAAAUUUUGAAAAUUUUAAGCUAAAAAGGAUGACAACCACUUUCAAUAUCAACGGUUGUAAAUACAACGUAAAUCUUAUAAAUUUUCCACCAGACAUCACUCUUAAUACUUUUAUACGGGAAUAUGUGCAGUUAACGGCUACCAAAUACAUGUGUUUGGAAGGAGGAUGCGGCGUUUGUGUAUGUGUCAUUAAAGGUAAACAACCCGUCAGCGGAGAAACCCGUACAUGGGCUGUUAACUC